CCCUUAGAUGUUCUGGGCCGCACGCGCGCUACACUGAUGCAUUCAACGAGCCUAUCCUUGACCGACAGGUCCGGGUAAUCUUUGAAUCUGCAUCGUGACGGGGAUAGAUUAUUGCAAUUAUUAAUCUUCAACGAGGAAUGCCUAGUAGGCGCAAGUCAUCAGCUUGCGUCGAUUACGUCCCUGCCCUUUGUACACACCGCCCGUCGCUCCUACCGAUUGGGUGUUUCGGUGAAGAUUCCGGAUAGGACUUUUUUGAUUUAUUUCAAUUUUGUCUUAAAAGCUAUCUAAACCUCAACAUUUAGAGGAAGGUGAAGUCGUAACA
rnacentral:rRNA from 1 species